GUUACAGAGAGUUUUAAAUUCAGUCUUGUAUAGAAAGAAAUGUAUUAAGCAAAAUUCUGUGAAUAAAUAUUCCCACAAAAUACAUCUGAAUGGUUAAAAAGUACUGGAAGAAAGCUAUCAGGGCUGCAACAAUGAAUGUCUUUUUCUUUUUUUUAGUAUCAAAAAUACCAAUUCAUAAAUUUCAUGUUUUCAACAUAGGGAAAAUGUUAUCAGAGGACAAUUUAAGCAGUGCACUUUACUUGGAAUAAUUAAGAGUUACACAGUACUGUUUCCUUAUUUUAAGCUUUCUUUAAUGUAUUUAAGUAUUUACUUUUCUUUUUUACUGCUGCUCUUAUCCUUCUCGAUUUUCUUCCCUUGUUCUGUUGCUUCUGUUGCAUAUUUUUUUUAAAGGACACGUACAGGAGCAACUGCUGCUACCCAGAAAAAUUUGUGUAUUAUAAACAAUUUCUUGGAAGAGUUUUUAAUUGUUAUUUGUGUGAUUCUAGAGCAGAUAACAUUUUCCCUAAAGUUAUGCUGUGAAAUGCCUUUUGUUAUGGUGCAGUUAAGGAAUCCUAAACCUCCAUUGUGACAAGCUGACAGCACAGUUUCAUAGGUGCUUUUUUAACCAGUUGUGGAAAUUAUUCUUUCCUCAAGGAAAAUAUUCUCUUCUUAAAUUUUUUGUGGUCAUGAAAUCUUAAUAUGAAUGGAUUUUAGUUCACAUUUUCAGUUUUGUAAGCUCUCUC
rnacentral:lncRNA from 1 species